rnacentral:rRNA from 1 species
GACGAACGCUGGCGGCGCGCUUAACACAUGCAAGUCGAGCGAGAACCAGGCCUUCGGGCCUGGGGAAAGCGGCGAACGGGUGAGUAACACGUGGGCACCCCACCCUUGGUACCGGGAUAGCCCGGGGAAACCCGGAUUAAUACCGGAUGGCCCAGCAGCUCUUCGGGGCGGCUGGAAAAGGUAGCUUCGGCCUCCGACCAAGGACGGGCCCGCGGCGGAUUAGCUUGUUGGUGAGGUAACGGCUCACCAAGGCGGCGAUCCGUAGCUGGUCUGAGAGGACGAUCAGCCACACUGGGACUGAGACACGGCCCAGACUCCUACGGGAGGCAGCAGUGGGGACUCUUGCGCAAUGGGCGAAAGCCUGACGCAGCGACGCCGCGUGGGGGAAGAAGGCUUUCGGGUUGUAAACCCCUUUCAGGAGGGACGAAGCCACUCGGGUUAAUAGCCCAGAGGGUGACGGUACCUCCAGAAGAAGCCCCGGCUAACUACGUGCCAGCCGCCGCCGUGAAAC